UUACGCCCACAUCACGUUGAAACAUUGGUUCCCAUACGAUCACUGAAGUUAAGCAAAAAUGUGCCUGGUCAGUACCUAUAUGAGAGACUGCUUGGUAAUACCAGGUGCUGUAA